AUAUAUGCCGAAUUCCUUUUUUUUAAUUAUUUUUUAAUUUUAUUAAAUUUAUAUAUAUAUAUAUAUAUAUAUAUAUAUAUAUAUAUAUAUAUAUUAAUUUAUAUACUAAUUUUAUCAUAAUAACUAAUUUUAAUUAAUUUAAAAUUAUUUUUUUAUAAAAAUUUAAAUAUAAUUUUAAAUUUUAAAAUUAAUAAAAUUAUUUAUAAAAAAUUAUAAUUUAUAAAAAAUAUAAAUUUUAAAAAAUUUAAAAAACUUUUUUUAAUAUUAUAAAAAUUUAUUUUAAAGCUUAUCCCUUAAAAUAUUUAAUUAAUUAUAUUAUUUUAUAAAAUAAAUUUAUAAAAUAAAAAAAAAUUAAUUUAAAAUUAAAUUUUUUUCUAAAAAAACUAGAUAUUUUUAAAAACGAUUAACAUUUCAUUUCAAAUUAAUUAUUUAAAAUAAUUAUGCAAUAUUAACUUUAAUAAUUAAUUAUCUCUUUUAAAUUCGAGAUAUUUUAUCUAAAAAUAUUAUUUAAUAAACUCUGAUACACAAGAUACAACAAAUUAAAUUUACUUAUUUAAUAAUUUAUUUUCAAAAUUUUUCAAAAUUCUUUUACAAUACUAUUUUACUAUAAAUUAAUAAAUUUUUUCUUAAAAAAUACUUUAACCCCCAUUAAUGAUUUUUUAAAAUUAUUUUUAUUAUUUAUAAUUAUUAUUAAUUUCCCCCUA
rnacentral:rRNA from 1 species